rnacentral:misc_RNA from 1 species
GAUGAAGAACGUAGCGAAAUGCGAUAAGUAGUGUGAAUUGCAGAAUUCAGUGAAUCAUCGGAUCUUUGAACGCACAUUGCGCCCCUUGGUAUUCCAUGGGGCAUGCCUGUUCGAGCGUCAUUUGUACCUUCAAGCUUUGCUUGGUGUUGGGUGUUUGUCCUGAGGGACUCGCCUUAAAGUAAUUGGCAGCCAGUGUUUUGGUUUUGAAGCGCAGCACAAGUCGCGAUUCAAGGCUAUACGCCAGCUUCCACAAGCCUUUUUCACUUUUGACCUCGGAUCAGGUAGGGAUACCCGCUGAACUUAAGCAUAUCAAUAAGCGGAGGA